rnacentral:lncRNA from 1 species
CUCUGAUUCUUCCCUGGUCUCCUCUCUGCAGUGUCGCCAGAACACCUUCGCACACUCUAUUCUUUGUGGCCCUUCUGACUUUCUCUUUGCCGUGUGACAGGGGAGUCCUCCCUAACCAGCAGACAGUGAAGGUGGAGUCCACGUUUCUCGGCCUCCACGCAUAGCGAGUCUCAGACCCCGCAAGGCUGCAGACAGUGCUGUGUGAAUACCUGUAACUUCUUUCCUUGGAACCAAGAUUUAGCACAUGAGAAGAAUCUGGAAGAAGCUGAGCCCACAAGGGUCCCAGGAGGGCAUUCUACCUGCCCACUGACCGUCUCAGCAUGCUACACCCUCGAGGGAACUCAGGUUCCCUGUCUGUAAAAUGCAGAUUCUCUCCUAUGAAAUCUCUGAGGUGAGGCUGCCAUCUGCUAAGGUAUGCGGUCCCCUCUAGGCCCAGGUCACGGAGCCCGUGCUUCACCUGCUGGUGUCUCCCCUCACCCAGCCUCCAGACCCCACCA